rnacentral:rRNA from 1 species
UGAACGCUGGCGGCGUGCCUAAUACAUGCAAGUCGAGCGAACAGACGAGGAGCUUGCUCCUCUGACGUUAGCGGCGGACGGGUGAGUAACACGUGGAUAACCUACCUAUAAGACUGGGAUAACUUCGGGAAACCGGAGCUAAUACCGGAUAAUAUAUUGAACCGCAUGGUUCAAUAGUGAAAGACGGUUUUGCUGUCACUUAUAGAUGGAUCCGCGCCGCAUUAGCUAGUUGGUAAGGUAACGGCUUACCAAGGCAACGAUGCGUUGCCGACCUGAGAGGGUGAUCGGCCACACUGGAACUGAGACACGGUCCAGACUCCUACGGGAGGCAGCAGUAGGGAAUCUUCCGCAAUGGGCGAAAGCCUGACGGAGCAACGCCGCGUGAGUGAUGAAGGUCUUCGGAUCGUAAAACUCUGUUAUUAGGGAAGAACAAAUGUGUAAGUAACUAUGCACGUCUUGACGGUACCUAAUCAGAAAGCCACGGCUAACUACGUG